rnacentral:misc_RNA from 1 species
AACUUAGAGAGGACGAAGAGUAGUUUGGAAUCGUAAAAGCGCAUAUUAACACACAUGCUCCGCAAUCAAAAUAUGGCUAAUAAUAUGAAAAUAUCCCAUCUUUGGAAUUACAUUCAGACAUUUCUGUAAUCUCUACGCAUCAUUUUACUGUUCGAUCCUUGACGCGUUCAAAUAGUAAAAUUAUAAAAGAGAAGCUUAUAACCUGUAAUUUCUAAACUUACUAAUUAUUAAUUAGUAAAUUAUUGUAUAAAAAGGGCGCAGAUCGCGAAACAGAGGAGCGGAUCGUGCAUCCCACCGGAUCCACUGAUGACCUCG